UACGUAGGUCCCGGGCGUUGUCCGGAUUUAUUGGGCGUAAAGGGAGCGUAGGCGGCCUGCCAAGUCUGAUGUGAAAUACCGGGGCUCAACCCCGGGGCUGCAUUGGAAACUGGCAGGCUGGAGUGCCGGAGAGGCAGGCGGAAUUCCUAGUGUAGCGGUGAAAUGCGUAGAUAUUAGGAGGAACACCAGUGGCGAAGGCGGCCUGCUGGACGGUGACUGACGCUGAGGCUCGAAAGCGUGGGGAGCAAACAGG
rnacentral:rRNA from 1 species